rnacentral:rRNA from 1 species
UACGUAGGGUGCGAGCGUUGUCCGGAUUUAUUGGGCGUAAAGAGCUCGUAGGCGGUUUGUCGCGUCGGCCGUGAAAUCUCCACGCUUAACGUGGAGCGUGCGGUCGAUACGGGCAGACUUGAGUUCGGUGAGGGGAGACUGGAAUUCCUGGUGUAGCGGUGAAAUGCGCCAGAUAUCAGGAGGAACACCGGUGGCGAAGGCGGGUCUCUGGGCCGAUACUGACGCUGGAGGAGCGAAAGCCGUGGGGAGCGAACAGG